rnacentral:tRNA from 1 species
UCCCAUAUUGUCUAGUGGUUAGGAUACCUGGCUCUCACCCAGGAGGCUCGGGUUCAAUUCCCGGUAUGGGAA